AUGACGAGGUGUCUGAGCAAAAGUAUUCAGUUGAUUAUUAGCAACAAAAGUCAACAUGAACGCUGCAUUUUUGAUCACUUUGGUAUUGGCUCUCUUCGCUUUAGCCGCGGCUAAUCCAUCGGCAAAUCCGAACCCAAUGCCCAAACCAAGACCUCAAUACUGGAAUUACGGUUACGGAAUUGGAAUGCCUUACUAUGGAUUAGGGUAUGGAUAUUACUUCUAAGCGAAAAUAUUACCUCGUUUUUCACCGGAAAUAAACUUUGUUUUCUAAU